AGACCAUGGUGAGGACAUUUCCUAAGCAUUUCCUUAAAUCUCUCCCACGACUCAUAUAAGAAUUCAUUACCAAACUGCAAAAAAGUUAUGUCAUACCUUAAUUU